UAAGACGAUUAGAUGGCAAUACUUUUGUGGCAGCACAUUUCAGCAUGAUGGUCAAUGCCUCAGACAUCAAGACACUUUUCGACACUUACUGGUUAAAUGACAAAGUUGUUUACAUCUACUUCCGAAUUAUUCAUGCUUCCUGCUCAUGGAUCUCCGUUGUCGACCCGAUGUUUAUCACUGCCCUAAACGAGGGGAGAUCAUUAGCUGCCAAAACGUUCCUGACACCACAGCACCUCCAAGCUAACUAAGUUCUAAUACCUUGUGUUUUAGAAGGCCACUGGACAUUGAUCGUGCUUGACGUUGCCGGCAAGACUAUGACGUUAGUUGACUCCGGAAAUGCUAGAGAUAAUGGCUUGACCUUGGUGAGAACAAGGUUCAUGCCAUCCGGAAGGCGAUGACAUUUGAGAUACUUACUGGAGCAUUGAUGCCCAGAGAAUAAUGCGAACAUUUUUGUAGAUCACGCACUAUUUUGACCAUAUAUCAAGUGAUGACAUAUAUUUGUUCAAACUGAUUCAGAAAUUUUGAUGCAUGCUAAAAAAGCAUCAAUAUUAUUUGUGGAUCAAGACAGAAACCUGUUGUUAUACGUUAUGCAUUCAUGUUUGCCUCAAAGGGUCUCCCUGUUGUGUUAAGUUUGUAAAUAUUUGUUUCUUGCCCAAACUCUGUUUAAUUGGCCACUGAAUUAAAAAAAAAAUUGUGUUUGUAUUACUAUGCUUUUUAAAGCCAGUAAAAAGGGCGAUAUAAUUAUUGAGUGUCUUUACUGAACUUAAUUUUUAGGUCACCUGAGCACAACGUGCUCAUAGUGAGCUUUUGUGAUCGCCUUUUAUCGAACGUGUGUUGUGCACCGUCAACAUUUGCCGUGUUAACUCUCUAGACGCCACAUUUAUUGUCCAAUCUUCGUGAAAUUUGGUGAGAAGAUUGGUCUCAAUGAUAUCCCGUAAGAGUUCGAAAAUGGUUACCUUUGCUUGAAAAACAUGGCUGCCAAGGGGCGGGGGAUUUUUCCUUAUAUGGCUAUAGUAAAAUUUUGUUAACACUCUAGAGGCGACAUUUAUUGUCUGAUCUUCAUGGAACUUGGUCAGACGAUCCAUCCCAAUAAUAUCUUAGACGAGUUUGGAAAUGAUGCUGUUUAUUGAAAAACAUGGCCGCCAUGGGGCGGGGCAUUUUUUCUUAUAUGGCUAUAGUAAAACCUUGU